rnacentral:RNase_P_RNA from 1 species
GGCAGAGGGAGCCCGACCCCCGUGUGCCCGACCCUCGCGGCGACGGCGCAUGAGGAAAGUCCCCCCACCCCCGGACGGGCGACCGGGCGCAAGCCCGGAGUCGGAGACGGCUGGCUCUGGAACAGCAACGAGACCCCCCGCCCCGACCGAUGAGGUGCGCGCGGCGACCGGUCCCGGUCGCCUCCGGCGCCCGCGGCGUCGCCACGGAUGGAACGGCGAAUCCUCGCCGGUGCAAGUCCGCGUCGACGGGAGCGGCCACACGCGGUCGCUCCCCGACCGGUAGUCCGGGUGCUCGCCGACCGCGCGGGCGACCGGGGCGCGUCCCCGCGACGACGGGACCGCCCCGCGACCGACGCGGACGCUCAGCCGAAUGUCGGGCCGAACAGAAGGGGGCUUACUCCCCUCGGCC